rnacentral:rRNA from 1 species
GGCCACUGCUAUGGGGGUCCGACUAAGCCAUGCGAGUCAUGGGGCGCGCUCUGCGCGCACCGGCGGACGGCUCAGUAACACGUCGGUAACCUACCCUCGGGAGGGGGAUAACCCCGGGAAACUGGGGCUAAUCCCCCAUAGGCCUGAGGUACUGGAAGGUCCUCAGGCCGAAAGGGGCAUCUGCCCGCCCGAGGAUGGGCCGGCGGCCGAUUAGGUAGUUGGUGGGGUAACGGCCCACCAAGCCGAAGAUCGGUACGGGCCAUGAGAGUGGGAGCCCGGAGAUGGACACUGAGACACGGGUCCAGGCCCUACGGGGCGCAGCAGGCGCGAAACCUCCGCAAUGCGGGAAACCGCGACGGGGGGACCCCCAGUGCCGUGGCAUCGCCACGGCUUUUCCGGAGUGUAAAGAGCUCCGGGAAUAAGGGCUGGGCAAGGCCGGUGGCAGCCGCCGCGGUAAUACCGGCGGCCCGAGUGGUGGCCGCUAUUAUUGGGCCUAAAGCGUCCGUAGCCGGGCCUGUAAGUCCCUGGCGAAAUCCCACGGCUCAACCGUGGGGCUUGCUGGGGAUACUGCAGGCCUUGGGACCGGGAGAGGCGGAGGGUACUCCUGGGGUAGGGGUGAAAUCCUAUAAUCCCAGGAGGACCGCCAGUGGCGAAGGCGCUCCGCUGGAACGGGUCCGACGGUGAGGGACGAAGGCCAGGGGAGCGAACCGGAUUAGAUACCCGGGUAGUCCUGGCUGUAAAGGAUGCGGGCUAGGUGUCGGGUGAGCUUCGUGCUCGCCCGGUGCCGAAGGGAAGCCGUUAAGCCCGCCGCCUGGGGAGUACGGCCGCAAGGCUGAAACUUAAAGGAAUUGGCGGGGGAGCACUACAAGGGGUGGAGCGUGCGGUUU